rnacentral:rRNA from 1 species
UACGAAGGGUGCAAGCGUUAAUCGGAAUUACUGGGCGUAAAGCGUGCGUAGGUGGUUUUUUAAGUCUGCUGUGAAAGCCCUGGGCUCAACCUGGGAAUGGCGGUGGAUACUGAAAAGCUAGAGUGCGGUAGAGGAGGGUGGAAUUCCCGGUGUAGCGGUGAAAUGCGUAGAGAUCGGGAGGAACAUCAGUGGCGAAGGCGGGUCUCUGGGCCGAUACUGACGCUGAGGAGCGAAAGCGUGGGGAGCGAACAGG